rnacentral:lncRNA from 1 species
AAUCACACUCCGGGAUGCGUCCAGACCUGGAGACAUGUGGAACCCUCUGGUCAGGUUAUGGCUAUCCCUGCUCACCAAGUCUGGCAACUCAACAUCCAGCAGUGCCCUUGCACUAGUUAAGAAAAAGCAACUGAAUUUGCAAAAGGGAGCUGCAAUGUUGGCUGAAUGUAAGCAGCAGCAGAAUCAAUCCCAUCACUGCCAAGACACAGUUGCUGAUGCAGGAUUCUGAACUUCAGAGGAAACAAAGUAAUUCUCCCUGUGGAGACAUUGAACCUGAGAUCAAAGAAGCUUUGAGGAGAGAAUGAGGCUGAGAGCAGAACUGCACCAGGCCAUUCAGAAAGGGUAUCUUGAAGAGAACUCCUGGAGUUUGGUUGUAAAGCAAGGCGUGGAACCAGAAAUAACCUGAGAACUUGCUGGUGUUGCAGUCUUCCAAGAGCUGCAAGAAAUAUCCGGGUACCCAGAGGUGGUAGUGAAACUACAGCACCUCGAACACAUGCACCCUGAUUGUAAUUGAUAGCUAUAAGCAUGGAAGAUUUGUCAUUCUUUAUAAAUAUGUUGUUUCAUUCAUUCUUCCAUCCAAUUUCCAUUCAUUCAUUCUGUGGUGGUUUAAAGGAAGGUGGUCCUCACAGGCUCAUAUUUGAAUGGUUGGUUCCUAGUAGGUUAAACUCUUUUUGAAAGAUAAGGAGGUGUUCUCAUUUUUGGAAGGAAGUGAUUCUAAGUGUUUCUCCCUCCCCCUCCUCCUCCCCUCCCCCUGCUUCUCCCUCUCUUCAUCUUCCUGUGUCCCUCUCCCUCUUCCCAUCUCUCUGACCUGUUAAUCUGUCUCUCUGUCUCUUGCUCACUCCUUCCCUUCUGGUGGUGCUGCCAUCUGGUGGUGAAACACGAUGUGAACAAUCUCAGCCAUUCCUUCCCUCUGCUGUCAAGGGUUCUAACUCUGUGAAACCAUAAUCCACACUAACCCCUUCUUUCACAAGUUGCUUUGAUCUGGAUUAUGUUGUUUUAUCAGAGCCAAGGAAAAGUGACAGAUACACGCACCCUUUUCUGUUUGCCCACAUGUGAAGCCGCUUGUCCUUGAUUUCAUGUAGCUCUGUGUUCUCUUUCUAGCUCUGACCCCUUCCACCUCUCAAACAUCCCUGAGAUCAUUAGGCAACUUUUCCCCACACAUUUUCCUGAGGGACUCACAUGUGACAAGAAGAAAACACGAUUUCAUGUAUCCAGCAAGCUUUAACACACAAAUGAGAGACAAUGGAUAUCUGUCAUCUGGAGACUUGGUCAUCCAUUGGGUGUGGCUGUCUCCAGGCACAAGCAUCUUUAAGCAGACAGUACAACUUCAUCCUUCUUGUGAAGAACAAUAAUUGCUAC